rnacentral:piRNA from 1 species
AAAAUUGUAAUGCAGUUAGUACUCC